rnacentral:rRNA from 1 species
CCUACGGGAGGCAGCAGUGAGGAAUAUUGGUCAAUGGACGAGAGUCUGAACCAGCCAAGUCGCGUGAGGGAAGACGGUCCUAUGGAUUGUAAACCUCUUUUGUCGGGGAGCAAAAGACGCCACGUGUGGCGUUCCGAGAGUACCCGAAGAAAAAGCAUCGGCUAACUCCGUGCCAGCAGCCGCGGUAAUACGGAGGAUGCGAGCGUUAUCCGGAUUUAUUGGGUUUAAAGGGUGCGCAGGCGGAAGAUCAAGUCAGCGGUAAAAUUGAGAGGCUCAACCUCUUCGAGCCGUUGAAACUGGUUUUCUUGAGUGAGCCAGAAGUAUGCGGAAUGCGUGGUGUAGCGGUGAAAUGCAUAGAUAUCACGCAGAACUCCGAUUGCGAAGGCAGCAUACCGGCGCUCAACUGACGCUCAUGCACGAAAGUGUGGGUAUCGAACAGGAUUAGAUACCCGUGUAGUC